CCUAUCAACUGUCGAUGGUAAGGUAUUGGCUUACCAUGGUUGCAACGGGUGACGGAGAAUUAGGGUUCGAUUCCGGAGAGGGAGCCUGAGAAACGGCUACCACAUCCAAGGAAGGCAGCAGGCGCGCAAAUUACCCAAUCCCGACACGGGGAGGUAGUGACAAUAAAUAACAAUACAGGGCCUUGUCAGGUCUUGUAAUUGGAAUGAGAACAAUUUAAAUCCCUUAACGAGGAACAAUUGGAGGGCAAGUCUGGUGCCAGCAGCCGCGGUAAUUCCAGCUCCAAUAGCGUAUAUUAAAGUUGUUGCAGUUAAAAAGCUCGUAGUUGGAUUUCGGCGGCGCGCUCUCGGUCCGCCUGGCGGCGUGUCACUGGGAGCGCGCGGCUUUCUCUCGAGGGCCGCGCGUGCUCUUGAUUGCGCGUGCGCGGGACUCGGGACGUUUACUUUGAAAAAAUCAGAGUGUUCAAAGCAGGCCGUGCAGCUUGAAUACGUUAGCAUGGAAUAAUGGAAUAGGACGUCGGUCCUAUUUUGUUGGUUUCUGGGACCGAGGUAAUGAUUAAUAGGGACAGUUGGGGGCAUUCGUAUUCAAUUGUCAGAGGUGAAAUUCUUGGAUUUAUGGAAGACGGACGCAUGCGAAAGCAUUUGCCAAGGAUGUUUUCGUUAAUCAAGAACGAAAGUUGGAGGUUCGAAGACGAUUAGAUACCGUCGUAGUUCCAACCAUAAACUAUGCCGACUAGGGAUCGGAGGACGUUAUUUGUCGACUCCUUCGGCACCUUGCGAGAAAUCAAAGUUUUUGGGUUCCGGGGGGAGUAUGGUCGCAAGACUGAAACUUAAAGGAAUUGACGGAAGGGCACCACCAGGAGUGGAGCCUGCGGCUUAAUUUGACUCAACACGGGAAAACUCACCAGGUCCGGACACAGUAAGGAUUGACAGAUCGAGAGCUCUUUCUUGAUUCUGUGGGUGGUGGUGCAUGGCCGUUCUUAGUUGGUGGAGUGAUCUGUCUGCCUAAUCGCGAUAACGAACGAGACCUUAACCUGCUAACUAGUCACGGUGCGCCGUGGGCGACGCGCCGGUCGACUUCUUAGAGGGACUAUCGGUGUCUAACCGAUGGAAGUGUGAGGCAAUAACAGGUCUGUGAUGCCCUUCGAUGUCCUGGGCUGCACGCGCGCUACACUGACGGACUCAGCGAGUGU
rnacentral:rRNA from 2 species